AUUGCAUGAUCCACUAGUUCAGAUGAUAAAAUAAGGUGAAUCAUUCAUUCAUGUGAAAGAUAUGAUCCAAACCCUAGAAUGUCAUUGGAAAGAAGGCUAUAUAUGGGCUUCACAAUGGAUAUUGGUUAGAAUAAUGAUUUGAUGGCAUCAUGUUGUACAAGUAUCGAACUGGCAUUCACCCUUAUCUUGACACAAGAUUUUCAAAUAUAGAUCCA
rnacentral:lncRNA from 1 species